UCAGACUUUUAAUCUGAGGGUCCAGGG
rnacentral:piRNA from 2 species